GGGACUUCCAAGUAAUAUUUCACUUGUCCUUAGUGUGAUGGCUCCAUGAACUGAACUUACUCUGGUGACAGUUAGUGCUGAUGCAGUGACAUUACAUCAAGGUAAAAGGGAAGACUCAGCCAGAUGACUUCUAACCUGUUUGGCUCCCACAUCAGCCCUGCUGGAGGCUGAUGCACCUCCCACCAGCUUCAAACUGUGCUGGGGUCCUCCUUGCUGCCUACAAGACUGCAUCAUAUAUGAGUUGGGAUUAGCCAGAGGGUAAGUCUUCUGAGGCAGUGUUAGUGACCGAAGGAACAGUGUUACUGGUUGUCAAAAUCAAUUCACUCUUUGUCCGCAGGUACCACUUCCCUUAAGAAGAGACUGGUUGGUGGAACUGAGAGAACCCCAAAAAUUAAGAGAAUUCUUCACAGUGCAGAUGAAUUACUACUCACAGGUAGGUUUGGUGGCAGUACAGCUUAGUGCAAUCUUAGGGACUGAUUCUUGCAUAGGACCUAAUAUGAAUGGUGGCCUAAACCAAGCCUACAAAGAACAAUUGAAAGGCAUUUCUAACGUGUGUACCACAGUCUUCUGAUUAAGGUCUCGACAGUAAUAAUUCCCUGUGCCACCAAGUUUUCAGCUCUGUGUUCUGAUCUGAGAUCUUGUUUUACUACAGUGUUGGUAUGACAGUCAGACAUCUGAAGUCUGACAGGCAGACAAGCUGACAGCUGUGCAAGUUCCUAGCUGGGCUCUAGUCUAGCAGUAGAACAGAAGCAUAGACAGAUGCUGAAUGCCUCCCCAGCUCCUCAGGGCUUCCAUGGAGACUCCCGCAACACUGGUUGCCCUGCAUGGCUGCCUCUAGCUCCAGGACCAACCUUGAAGCAGGUGGAUGACAGCCAAGCAACUGGAUCUACAAAGGAGGAAGCCGGCAGUGAGACCAAGAAAGAAGCCUCUUCAACAUCCACCGUCUCCCACUGUACCUAUCCAUCCAUGCUUCUGGCUCCCUACUCCCCUCUCUUUCCCUUUUUCUUCCUCUAUCACUGCUAUCUGCAUCUGUCUCAUCUUCCCCUGCAAAUCCCUCUGUCCUGCUGCCUGACCCAUUGUUUCUUGCUAUACCCACCUGUCUAGCUGGUGCUUCUCUUUUUCUCUCCUUACGCCUCUGUCCUGCUCCCUGGCCUUAUUUUUCCUUCCUCCAGCCCUGCUCUACAGUCCGUGGUAGCAGAAAGCAACAGGUCAGCAUGGGACAGAUGAGUGCUCAUCCAAUGCUGAUUUCUGAGGUGAAAUGGGGGGAAAUGGGUGCAUAGGGGCCAUCAGACACGCAGCAGCCUCCCUCCAGGCACUGAUGUGCAUGAAUAAACAGCUGCUUUGUUUAUUGCA
rnacentral:lncRNA from 1 species